AGUGGGGAGCACAUUGAUCAAAGGCUGUUUCAUCCCACAUGGGCACGAAACAUACCACAUUUUACGGAGGAUGUAGCUCCAGAGAAGAGGGAGGUGGAGGAGAAGCAUAAAUGAAAAGCACCUUUUCCUUCCUCUAGAAGAUGCACAGAGAAUUUCUGACCUUGUGACGUUUGGGAGUGAGGAGAUCCCAUACAGAGGCAUCCAGGUAUUUCCAGAGAUCCUGUGGCAGGUGAGGUCUGCCCUCGCUGGAGCCAACUCGUCUGUAAUAUCUUCCUAACAGCAGAACCUGGGUCUCACUCUGUCCCUUGGUUGGAAUGCAGUGGUGUGAUCAUGGCCCACUGCAGCCUUGAACUUCUGGACCCAAGUGAUCCUCGCAUCUCAGCCUCCCAAGUAGCUGGAACUACAGGUGAUACAGGCUAAACAAGAGUCAAAGAUACCACAGAGGAGAGGUCGAGGUCCUUCCACUGCAGCACCAAGUGGGGUAUAUAAAGCCACACUGCCCGUGAGGGCUGUGGCGUGAGUCCACUAGCCGUGAGAGACAGAUGCAUUACAAAGGGAUGGAUUUAGUGCACUCUUUCCUCUCUCUUACUCACAGCCUGAACAGCCAGUGAAUGAUGAAACAAAACUUCUUCCCAAGCCUCAAUGAGGAUUGUGCCAUGGUUUGAAGCCCCAUGAACUAUCUACUAUUAUUAUCAUCAUUCCAUCUUUCAGAGAUGGCAUCAAGGUGAGUUGAUUCAGCAGCUUAACCUUGUCAUCGAGCAUUCCAGUUCUUUCAGCCUCUCUACUCUGCUGCCUGCAACAGCAGUUUAUACAAAGGCUGGUUUCUUUGUCAUGUGAGAUGGCUUUGUGUUUGCCCAGUAUGUGUGUGUGUGUGUGUGUGUGUGUGUGUGUGUGUGGCGGGGGGGCUUCUCAUGUGCAUAGAUGAAUUAAGUUGGAGUUGUUUAGGAAAGGGAAGAGCAAAAAGGAAGAAAGAAUACUGGGUGAUCAUCAAUGCCCAACACAGGAGAGAGUGUAAGUAAAUGAAACCUCUGUUUUUUAAUGAUAAAUUUUGCGUGUAGCAUGUUCUAGUAAAGUUUGGCUCCACUGAGCUUGUAUUACUUUGUAAAAUAUUCAAAGUCAUAUUGAAAAAAAUUCAAAUGUUCUCUAUUUGAGAACUGAAUUCACUUUUGGAAUUCAGUUAUGACUCCUUAACAUUGAGGCUCUAAAUUCUUAAUUAUAUAGCUGUGAAAUGGACUUUUAAAUGGAAUGUAAUUUUAUACAUUUGUGAGCUUUUAUUGCGUUCAUUUCUUAUGGCAGAGAGUGCUCCUUAUUCUCACAAUCUUUAUUUGGGCCAUGGCUGCUCUGCAUAUAGACUACUUGGCAACCUCCCUUAGAACUAGGUGUACCCAUAUGAUCAAGGUCUGUCCAUGGGAAUAUAAAUGAGAGUAAUGUGUACAACUUCCAGCUAAUGCUUUCAAAGGAAAGGUGUGACACUUUAGGGUUGGUAGAAAGAAAAAACAAUAAGGAGCCUGGAUACCUGGUAAUUUUUAGACAGAAGACCUAGUGUAUCAGCCUACAUAAUUAUGUCUAUCUUGUAUAAGCCAUUUUAAAUUUAGGCUGAACUUACAUCCUAAUGCAGUAGAUAACCAAUAUCAAUAAAUUGUCUAGAAAUAAAACAUGAUUUUCUGUUGUUUUUUGAUUUUCUUUUAGAUGAAGUCUUGCUCUGUUGCCCAGUUUGGAGUGCAGUGGUACGAUCAUAACUCACUGAAAUCUCAAACUUCUGGGCUCAACCAGUCCUCCUGCUUAAACUCCCAAGUAGCUGGGAUGACAGUUUUGUCAAUUAUGAAUGAAGCGGCUGUAAUCUGUGUUCAAGAUUUUGUGUAUACAUGCAUUUCCAGCUCAUUUGGAUAGACACAAAGGAGUGCAAUUGCUGAAUCAUAUGAUAUUUCCUUAUGAUUGGGAUCUCUUACUGGAGAAUUAUUGUUUUCCUUUGAAGUUCCUUCAGGUGCAAGGUUAGAGUGUUUAUUUGAGAUCUUCUUUUUUGAUGGAGACAGCGUCUUGCUCUGUCACCAGGCUGGAGUGCAGUGGCGCGAUCUCGGCUCACUGCAACCUCCACCUCUUGAGUUCAAGUGAUUCUCCUGCCUCAGCCUCCCGAGUAGC